AGUGAACGCUGGCGGUAGGCCUAACACAUGCAAGUCGAACGGCAGCACAGGAGAGCUUGCUCUCUGGGUGGCGAGUGGCGGACGGGUGAGGAAUACAUCGGAAUCUACUCUGUCGUGGGGGAUAACGUAGGGAAACUUACGCUAAUACCGCGUACGACCUACGGGUGAAAGCAGGGGAUCUUCGGACCUUGCGCGAUUGAAUGAGCCGAUGUCGGAUUAGCUAGUUGGCGGGGGAAAGGCCCACCAAGGCGACGAUCCGUAGCUGGUCUGAGAGGAUGAUCAGCCACACUGGAACUGAGACACGGUCCAGACUCCUACGGGAGGCAGCAGUGGGGAAUAUUGGACAAUGGGCGCAAGCCUGAUUCAGCCAUACCGCGUGGGUGAAGAAGGCCUUCGGGUUGUAAAGCCCUUUUGUUGGGAAAGAAAUCCAGCUGGCUAAUACCCGGUUGGGAUGACGGUACCCAAAGAAUAAGCACCGGCUAACUUCGUGCCAGCCGCCGCGGUAA
rnacentral:rRNA from 1 species